rnacentral:rRNA from 1 species
UACAGAGGUCUCGAGCGUUAGGCGGAAUCACUGGGCUUAAAGCGUGUGUAGGUGGAUCGUUAAGUACCUUGUGAAAUCCCAUGGCUUAACCAUGGAACUGCUUGGUAUACUGGCGGUCUUGAGCCAGCUAGGGGCUACCGGAACAAAUGGUGGAGCGGUGAAAUGCGUAGAUAUCAUUUGGAACGCCAAUGGUGAAAACAGGUAGCUGGGGCUGUGCUGACACUGAGACACGAAAGCCAGGGGAGCAAACGGGG